CAGGGAGACAACAAAAUGUUUAAUAUUAUUUUGUCACCUUAGGUCGAUCGGUAUCUCACGUUCUUAAUUUAUUAAGAAUUUCAUUUCCUAAGUUUUUCUAGGUCACACCCAUUAUUUUUCCUGGGCCAUUAGCUCAGGUGGUUAGAGCGCACCCCUGAUAAGGGUGAGGUCCCUGGUUCAAGUCCAGGGUGGCCCAUAUCUCUAUGUUGGGGGUAUAGCUCAGUUGGUAGAGCGCCUGCUUUGCAAGCAGGAUGUCAGCGGUUCGAGUCCGCUUACCUCCACUGAUUACCACCUCUUCCAUAACCGGUAGUAAAGGAAAUGUUUUGAGUUGUGAUCAAAUCCUGAAAGAAUCUAGCUUCCUAAUGAAAUCAUUAAGAUGCUGGACUCAUUGAAUUAAUUUCAUUGUUUUCAGAGAACCUUGACAACUGCAUAGAUUAUUUUUAAAGACAAUAAGCAUCUUUAAUGAUGCAGAUUUAUUAUUUGUGCGAAUGCAUUAAUAACAAUUCUAUUAAGCUGAUGCUUCAAUUUUUGAAGUUAUU
rnacentral:tRNA from 1 species